AUCGUCUGUGUAUAUUCACUCCCUCCCUUAAGUCUGAAUUCCUUCUGCAGUCCAAUCGGCACAGUCCACUGCUCUCCUCGUGGAUUGCGUUUCUUUCGCUGUGCCCCUGCUGCCUUCAUCUGUUGUACAGUCGAGGCUUUGCUGCUCUUAAGUCAACAUGGAUCAUGUAAAAGUUUUGUAAACUAUUGCGGUGCCACAGAGGGUGGCGGUUUUCGAAACUAAACAUCAAGUAUCUUUUGCUUUGCAUCUGGGCCUGUAAAUUUCCUCGUAGCAGGCUUUAACAUUGCGACAUUAUGGACCGUUCUUGGAUAGAACCGUAAUCCAAGGUAAUGUCAGAUGCUUUCUGGGACAUCUUGUUUAUAUUUGUCAUUGCUGUUCAGUGGCUA